rnacentral:rRNA from 1 species
AAGUUACUCUUAGUUCGGAUUGGAAUCUGCAACUCGAUUCUAUGAAGUAGGAAUCGCUAGUAAUCGUAAAUCAGAAUGUUACGGUGAAUACGUUCUCGAGCCUUGUACACACCGCCCGUCACACCAUGGAAGUAAAUUGUAUCAUAAGUAAUUUUAAUAUUGCAAAGGUAUGAUUUGUAACUGGGGUGAAGUCGUAACAAGGUAGCUGUAGGGGAACCA